GGGCCUGAGUGGAAAUCAGUGCCCUAUGACAGCUGAAGAGACAACACACUGUCCAGCAUCAACCACAAACCCCAGGCAACUUCUCUAGACUGCCAAAAACACAUAAUGGACACAGAAAAAGACACACCAUUUGCGGAGAAGACUCAUCAGGAAGCAAGUUCUUAAAACCUUCACAAUUGGUAGAGCUGGUGGGCCGGGCACCACAGCGUCAGGGUGACUAUCAUUUUCUUCUUUGGUUCUGAGCACUCAUUGUGACAUCAUUCCAAGUUCCAUGCUUCUCUGUGACUUCACCAGGAGAUACAGAGCUUGUCUGACUGCCCAUCUUCAUGCGCGGACAUACUGAUCUAAGGCUUAAAUGAUUAACACCUUGAAUGGGCAUGGAUCGCUUUCUCACCCUGUGAACACCAUUCAUUUCAGAAGCUCUGCUUCUGCUGCAACUAGACAUGUCACUCAGCGUCUUGAGUAGGAAAGAGAAAGAGAAGGUCAUCCGUAGACUCUUAGUCCAGGCUCCUCCUGGGGAAUUUGUGAAUGCCUUUGAUGAUCUCUGUCUGCUUAUCCGCGAUGAGAAGCUCAUGCACCAUCAGGGUGAGUGUGCCGGCCAUCAGCACUGCCAGAAAUACUGUGUUCCACUCUGCAUCGAUGGCAACCCAGUCCUCCUGUCUCACCACAAUGUGAUGGGUGACUUCCGGUUCUUUGACUAUCAGAGCAAACUUUCUUUCAGGUUUGACCUGCUCCAGAAUCAGCUGAGAGACAUCCAAAGCCAUGGAAUCAUUCGGAAUGAGACUGAGUACCUGAGAUCUGUUGUUCUGUGCGCCUUAAAACUCUACGUGAAUGAUCACUACCCAAGUGGAAAUUGCAAUGUGCUGAGAAAAACAGUCAAAAAUAAAGAAUUCUUAAUCGCUUGCAUAGAAGACCACAGCUACGACAAUGGAGACUGUUGGAAUGGUCUUUGGAAGUCUAAGUGGAUCUUCCAGGUAAACCCAUUUCUAACCCAAGUAACAGGAAGAAUUUUUGUGCAAGCUCACUUCUUCAGGUGUGUCAAUCUUCAUAUUGAAAUCUCCAAGGACCUGAAGGAAAGCUUGGAGGUGGUCAAUCAAGCCCAGUUGGCUCUCAGUUUUGCAAGGCUUGUGGAAGAACAAGAGAAUAAGUUUCAAGCUGCUGUCUUAGAAGAGUUACAGGAGCUGUCCAAUGAAGCCCUGAGAAAAAUUCUACGGAGGGACCUUCCAGUGACCCGCACCUUGAUUGACUGGCAGAGGAUCCUCUCUGACUUGAAUCUGGUGAGAAGAAAGUAAAUGAACUGUGAGGACAGGGAAGGAAAUGAUUAAGUUAAUAGCCAAAAGAAGAGAAGCAAGGAGCCAACCCCAAACGAAGAUCCUGAGAGCACAGCAAGGGAAAUAGAGUGGCAGGUCUGCAGAAGUAGGGCUGAAGCUGAGGGCAAGGUGAGGUCACCCGGGGCUUUGACAAAGUGCCGCUAACACAUCUGACACUGAAGUCUUCGAGCUGAAAGCUAAGGAGUUGCCCUACCACUGUUCCUGCUGGAAGUGAAUUUGACUUCGUGUACUGGCAUCGGUCCAGGCCAUUGAUUAGAAGAUACUGAAAGAAAGCAGACCUGUAAGGAGUUGGAAUUCUAACAGGUCAAAAUCCAGGAACAUCAGGGUCAACUUGUUCAACCAGUGGAAAAAUAUACCAUGUACCGUAACUGUGCAAAGGCAAACUAUGUUGCUAAACCAUCAGCUAAAUGGAGUGGCAAGGUUUAAGUUUUCAUCCAGUUCUCCAUGGAGUGAGAUGCUCUGUCUCUGUCUGGAGUUUGGGUCACAUCCCAUCACCUGCUCUAAAACAUUUCUACGAACCCAUCAAUAGAAACCUGGGUGCUGCUGAAGACACUCUGGAAUGGUUUGUGUUGAGAUGCCCAGCCCCCACCUCCUUAGAGGCCUGUACUGAAGCUUUGGUUCCCAAUACAGCAGUAACAGAG